rnacentral:lncRNA from 13 species
AUGCCUCCCCCUCCCCGCGGUGCUCCCCGGUGCUGGGCAGGUCUGGAGCCCUGCAGCCGGCCAGGCAGAGCGCCUGCAGCCAGGGGGGCUCCCAAAGGGACGGAGAGGGAGCUCCCCAGUUCCCCCCUUCAAGCCAAUGUAAUGUGCUUGGGAAUGAGGUGUCAGGGUGAGCCCUGCGCUUUUCCUUGGGCACAUUUGCCUUGGAGCAGGAAGGAUCAGCUCCUGCGUGCUGUACCUGCUUCAGUCACUGCUGCUUUUCUUGGGGGGGAGGGAAGCUCUAGAGAUACUAUAUAUACACUUACAUAUAUAUAUAUAUAUAUAUAUACACACACACAUACGUGCACUUGUUUUGAAGGGAAAACGCUGUAUGAUUGUAAUAGAAAUAAUGAUGAGAUAAAUUAUUUUAAUCUUUGUAUUUAUAUAAAAUUAUCAAAGAGAUCAAAAUGAUCAAAAAAAAAAAUCGAAAAGACAGUAUUCCUAUUUUUUACUGAGAAGGCUGCUGGAGCCACCAGGAGCCUGAGAGCCACUGGGGCCCAGGCAGGGCCUGUCCUCCCCUCCUCGGGUGGGGAGCUCUCACAGACUCCCCCCAUCGCACUGUAAGUUAGCCUUUAGCCUGUAAGGUGUAACAGGGACCUGUAGGUGCAUUCAGUCUGUGCUCUGCACUCCUCAGGGGUCCAAAGGGCGCACACAGCUUCGACCUGCGCCGUGCACCUGAAAGCACGGGCUGAGGAGCGCAACCGCCGACACCGACGUGCUCUGUGUGGAACGGGCAGUGUUUGAUGUUGACUUGUAAAGCUUAAUGAUUAGACUGGAAAUGGAAGCAUAGCAAUAACGCUCGGUUGUUAAACAACGUCUUGUGUGUGUAAACCCCCACGUGCUGAGAGCUGUCUACAGACUAAUAGCCGGGCUCCUCUCCUCUGCACCCCCUUUCACUCUGUAGCUCUGCAGAGGCUUAUGGAUUUGAUGUGUUUGGUUUGCUAAUCUCUCUUUUCAUUAUUAUUAUUAUAUUACUAUUACUAUUAUUAUUUUUCCUAAUGCUGUCUGAGAAAGUGAUGUCUCAAAUGCACCUUGCAGCAGGUGUGGGGUGAGCAGUGGAUGGGAAGGAUGCACCUGCUGCACUCGCUGCAGCAGAGCCAGUCCUGGCAAUGGGGUGCACACUCCCCUGGACUUCCUUUAACCCUGGGCAGAUUGGUCAGGAGGUUCUUCUUCUUGACCCUGUUAACUAAAAAGCCAUAUUUUCUGAAUGUGUUUGCUGGGGCUAAUCUACAUGCUCCCAGCCAUGUCCUUCCCAUCCCCACUAGGCUCCCAGCCCUCCCACUGCUGCAUGGCUGUGUGCUGAGACAGUUUGAACUGGGGCCAGGCCCUGCUGGCUUCCCAGGGGCAAGCUUUCUGUGAAUCACCUUACGGCAAGCAAAGCCAGGUUCAUGGCCCAGCUGGUGGGUGCUCUGGAGGGACUGAGGGGUGCUCUUUCCUGGGUGCCCAGGAGAGGUGGCAGUGACACAGCACGAGACAUCCUGCCUGAAGCAGCUGGAGCCAGCAAUGUGAAGGGAUUGCUCUGCUUUUCCCAAGUUCUCCCCAAGCUCUCCACACCAGGAAGGUAAAUCAGCAGCAGAACGAGGGACUUUGAUUUUUGGGGCUUAGGUGAACCUCUCGGAGUCCUUGUGCACCGCCUUGUGAACUGGCUCCUGCUGCCCCAGUGAAGCCACACCACCCUGCUGUUUUCCUAGAACACCAGCCCUCACAUCCCAGCAGCCCUGAUGAGCCAGUCUAGCUGUAGUGAUGCCGCAGCCGCCUCGGUGCACGCCUGUUCUUGUCACCCUCUUGCACUGUCGGCGCCUGGCUGCCAAGUCCUACAGGGAAUGCAACAGGAGGGGAGAGAACUCCCUUACGCCUGUGGGUUGCCUCAUGCAGGCAUCUGAGAUCUGCGGAUAAGAUCAGCAGUGCCGGAGUGCCGGGCUGGGUGAGCAGGAGGAGCUCAGGAUCGAUGAGCACAGCGGCUGUGGAGGAGCCACCAGACACCGCAGCCUGUUAAAGCACAAGGAUCAAAGCACCGUGUCCCCUCGCCAUCAGAGCUGCCCUUUGCUCCCCAGGCCCCCAUUUCUGCCUUUGUGUCCUCCUUGCCAGCUCUGGCCCUGCAGGGAAGCUGCUGUCCCAGCCCCAUGAAGGGAUGGUGCCUCUGGGCAGGAGGACACGGAGGGUGACACUCGUACUGCCACCACAUCUGAUCCCUUCAUCUCACCCUCUCUCUCCUCACACCUUCGGGCAGGAACAGGGCAGUAAAGCUGCCGGUGUGAGAGAGGAGCGCCCAACCCACACCCAAGUGGUGCCUGGUCCUCCCUGGCCAGGGUGUGGUUAUGCCUCCUGGCUCUUCCCAAUAGAUUUCAGUGAUCUUGCAGCUUCCAAAAAAGCUCCCGUUUCCUGUUGUUGCAAUUAUCGCAGGGAUUAGAUUAUCAGGCCCUGGGAAUCCCUCAAAUCUUUGCAUGUCUGAAGCAGCAAACUCUUUCUGCCCGGGGGCUGUGGGUAUGGCGCUGAGCUGCAGCCCCUUGGCCCUGCAGGGACAAGCACUGUCUGUAUGUUUCAAGGUCAGUGUCACCCCAGUGGGCUGAGAACAUCACCUCUGCCUGGCCAGAGCUGUGCUGGGACCCCUGGGAGGGCUCUGGCAGAGGGAUGAGGAGGGCAGCACUUCUGGUCUCAGCUCCCCUGGUCCCAGAGCAGCUGCGGUUUUGUUGGAGCAAAAAUAUUGUCCUUGGCUGAGUGUGCGAAGCUCAGUGAGAACAAUAAACGCCUGUGCCUCGUGCUGGGGAGCGCUGCCACAGAGGGACAGAUGCCAAAGGUUUGACACUGCUCUGCUUUAUUUGAAUGUUCAUUUUGCUACGUCACCAUUAUUUGCCAGGAUGAUAUUCAUGUUGACUUUGCUUUUUAACCAAGUGCUUUUCAAAAUGUGUUAACACCCAGAGACUAGAGUAUGGAGCUGUACUUUAGAAGCUGUUGUAAUAUGCCUUUUUCUUAAUAAAGAGAUUGAAAUCUGCAGAGGGUUGUACUGUCCUACCCCAGAGCUCAGGACCUCCAGCCACAAAUCAUAAGCAUCUCUGCCUCCGUCCCAGGACUGGCUCCUACCUCACCCCCCCAGAGCUCUUCCACAGCUCCGAGGAAUCCUCAGAGUGACCUGCAGUCCUUACAGGGGGCCUGCAGGUAGAUGGGGGGGAUCAUUAUCAGAAUCUGGAGCACCAGAACAAGGGGGAAUGGCUUCCCGCUGCCAGAGGGCACAGUUAGAUGGGAUAUUGGGAAGAUUCUUCCCUGUGAGGGUGGGGAGGCCCUGGCACAGGUUGCCCAGAGAAGCUGUGGCUGCCCCUGGAUCCCUGGCAGUGCCCAAGGCCAGAUUGGACGGUGACACCGAGAAAUGGGAAAUAAAUUCUCCAAUCAGUUUGUUUGGUUAGAAAAUCAACAUUAUUCAGCACUGGGUACGUGUGGGAUUGUUCCACCUAACAUGUAUGGCAAUUAUCAAAACUUUUAACAAUUUAUAUAUUUUACCAAACAAUGGAAUUAGUGUUCAUUGGCUAGAAGUUACAUAGUUCUCUUAUUAAUUAGUAUUCUCUCUUCUGUUGGUUAAUGAUACUCUCACUUCUCAUGCUAAUUAGUCUUUCUCUUCUUUUGGGUUAGUUAGUUUCUUGCAUCAGUGGUCUGUGGGUUGAUGGCCACAGAUCCCCCCCCGCCAGAAUUACCUUUUACCCAUUUGGAGCUGAUUUCAGCACAGUCACUGAGCUGGUUUUAUUAGUUAUUCCUUAUCCUGGGAGUCCUGCCAGAUGUCCUUGUGGCCCAUAAAUUCUGCAUUCUUUGUGUCCAUUAUUAGUGAUACAUCCUUCUUCACAAGCUAGGUUAACCUCCUCCCUCAGGUCUUAGAUCACUGAAUCAUGUUUUUUCUAACUCAUGGACAGGACUUAGAGCUUGCUUGUUAGCUGCUAUCUGUUUCAUGGAUUAAAUAUCCCUUCUUGUUGAUUAGGCUUGAAAGUUACAAAGAUCAAACAUUAAAGAACAUCCUUUUUAAAUUAAGUUUAUUUGGUUUGGUUUUUUUUUUUUUUUCUUUUGUUCUUACAUAUCACCAAACACUGUUUGUUAUAAUUAAACAUUUUCCCAACAUUUCCCCCACGGCUGCAGAGACUCUUCUUUAAAUAAAUGUAACUACUUCGGUAACAACGGCGCCUGGAGCGACCUACACUAGCGGGAAGUGUCCCUGCCCGUGGCAGGGGGAGCAGAACUGGGGGGUCCCUUCCAACCCGAACCCUUCAGGGGGAGCAGAACUGGGGGGUCCCUUCCAACCCGAACCCUUCAGGGGGAGCAG